rnacentral:misc_RNA from 1 species
UCUCCGUUGGUGAACCAGCGGAGGGAUCAUUAUCGAGUUUAUAACUCCCAAACCCUAUGUGAACUUACCACUUGUUGCUUCGGCGCGCGCUUCGGUGCCGCCGAGGACGCUUAAACUCUUUGUUUUUAUAAGCAUUUCUGAGUGGCCGAAAGGCAAAAUACAAAUGAAUCAAAACUUUCAACAACGGAUCUCUUGGUUCUG